CUUGGUUUUCUUGGUUGUGCCGGAAAAACCAAGAAAAACCUUCUAACGGAGGGAACGUUUUCUUGGUUUAAGUUUAUGGAGACCGUUUGGUGGGUGUUUGCGCAGCUUUACCUAAGGUCAUGUCAUGCAGUACUGGCGGUAAGACACCCCUGUCUAACUUUGAAGCUGGUCAGAACUAUAAGGAUCGCCUGAUAAAUGAUGAAUAUCAUAAUAUGGAUUCAGGAAUAACACAAAGUUCAAAUCUGCCGCUACAGG